rnacentral:rRNA from 1 species
GCAUAUCAAUAAGCGGAGGAAAAGAAACUAACAAGGAUUCCCCUAGUAACGGCGAGUGAACCGGGAAGAGCUCAAAUUUGAAAUCUGGCGUGCUCAGUGCGUCCGAGUUGUAAUCUAUAGAGUCGUUUUCCGUGCCGGACUGUGUCCAAGUCCCUUGGAACAGGGUAUCAAAGAGGGUGAUAAUCCCGUACUUGACACAAUGACCGGUGCUCUGUGAUACGUCUUCUACGAGUCGAGUUGUUUGGGAAUGCAGCUCAAAAUGGGUGGUGAGUUCCAUCUAAAGCUAAAUAUUGGCGAGAGACCGAUAGCGAACAAGUACCGUGAGGGAAAGAUGAAAAGCACUUUGGAAAGAGAGUUAAACAGUACGUGAAAUUGUUAAAAGGGAAACGAUUGAAGUCAGUCGUGACUGAGAGGCUCAGCCGGUUCUGCCGGUGUAUUCCCCUCAGUCGGGUCAACAUCAGUUUUGUUCGGUGGAUAAGGGCGGUUGGAAGGUGGCACCCUCGGGUGUGUUAUAGCCAACUGUCGCAUACAUCGGAUGAGACUGAGGAAUGCAGCUCGCCUUUAUGGCCGGGGUUCGCCCACGUUCGAGCUU